rnacentral:lncRNA from 1 species
CUCUACAUUCUUGGCUAGUGCUUGCAGGGAUGGGAGAACUGGCAGUGGGGUGGUGCCCUGUCAUAAAAUCAAGAGUCACUAGAUCAGCUCUGCUGAAUGCAGUCCUCUCCCACUGAUUACCAUAACUUUCAUCAGCCAUAGUAAUUAUGGCUGGAAUUGAUGGGAAUCGCUAAUGUCUGGAAAGCACCAUUCAACAUCACUAAGGGGAGAGGUGAAAAAAGGUUAACGGUUGGGUACCCAGGCUGAAGAAGCUUAUUAAGAAAAGUUUAUGCAAAGAGAAGAAAUGGCCUUUUUAUUCUUCAAAGAAUGCUGGUUGUGGUUUAUGUAAAAGAGCCUGAAUUUUCUGCAUCAAUGGAAGCACUAAAUCAAAAUGACCAAUAUACAAGUGCAAUUUAGUAGGAAGGAAGGAAGGAAGGAAGGAAGGAAGGAAGGAAGGAAGGAAGGAAGAGAUACACCCAGCCCAUCUCCUACAAAAUUGUUUCCAUCUUGCUUCAAAUGUGGACUUUGCAAAGAAGAGAGGAGCUUUGGUCUUUAGAGGGUCUGCCUAGAACCCAGAACCCUGGGUUAGCUGGAGAGUUUCCACAGAUAAAGGUGGCUGUCCUCUUCAGAACACUGCUGUCCAUUUGAAGAGAGAGAGACUGAAGUGAUGAUGGAAGGGGCUAGCACACAUGUGCUCAUGUGUUUAUUUUCUCUGUAGUCACAUUUCAGUACAGUCGUGUCCCGCUUUACAAUUACCCCG